CAGUCGCGCGGGAAUACGUAGGUGGCAAGCGUUGUCCGGAAUUAUUGGGCGUAAAGGGCUCGCAGGCGGUUUCUUAAGUCUGAUGUGAAAGCCCCCGGCUCAACCGGGGAGGGUCACUGGAAACUGGGAAACUUGAGUGCAGAAGAGGAGAGUGGAAUUCCACGUGUAGCGGUGAAAUGCGUAGAGAUGUGGAGGAACACCAGUGGCGAAGGCGACUCUCUGGUCUGUAACUGACGCUGAGGAGCGAAAGCGUGGGGAGCGAACAGGAUUAGAUACCCCGGUAGUCCCUGUCUCUUAUACA
rnacentral:rRNA from 1 species